rnacentral:rRNA from 1 species
AACGAACGCUGGCGGCAUGCCUAACACAUGCAAGUCGAACGAAGGCUUCGGCCUUAGUGGCGCACGGGUGCGUAACGCGUGGGAAUCUGCCCCUCGGUUCGGAAUAACAGUUAGAAAUGACUGCUAAUACCGGAUGAUGACUUCGGUCCAAAGAUUUAUCGCCGAGGGAUGAGCCCGAUCGAGAUUAGGUAGUUGGUGGGGUAAAGGCCUACCAAGCCGACGAUCUUUAGCUGGUCUGAGAGGAUGAUCAGCCACACUGGGACUGAGACACGGCCCAGACUCCUACGGGAGGCAGCAGUGGGGAAUAUUGGACAAUGGGCGAAAGCCUGAUCCAGCAAUGCCGCGUGAGUGAUGAAGGCCUUAGGGUUGUAAAGCUCUUUUACCAGGGAUGAUAAUGACAGUACCUGGAGAAUAAGCUCCGGCUAACUCCGUGCCAGCAGCCGCCGUAA